rnacentral:lncRNA from 1 species
UGGUUUUGCCUAAGUCGUGCGGCACCCUCGCGCGUCCGUCCGCAAAGGUCAGCCUCCCCGAAGCCUCCCAUUGUCCCUUAGGACCACCAAAAGAGAGAACGGGUUAAAGAGAACGCCUCAAUCGGGAUCCACAAGCAAACAUCUCCGAAAAACACUUCAUAGACAAUGCAAAUUACAAACAAACUUUACAAGUUCUGAACAGUUGCACAACAAAGGGUAAAAUAGUCCAUUACAGACCGAAAAGCUCUCGCACGUGUCCACAUGACACAACCUUUAUUUACAAGCCUAAAGAGGCCACCAACCUAACUCAAAUGGGACUUUGAAGCCUUCGGCCGCCCCCUUACAUGCUGUACAAGGCAUGAAUAUGCCAAAAGACACGGACAUACAUAAGCAUUACAUCAAACACCCUGUUUCGAAGUUUGUCCGUGACAUUCUCCCCCACUUAUCCCUUCGACGUCCUCGUCGAAGCCUUUGUGAACACUGCAACUCUUCGCCUUUGCUGAGUCUUCAAUCUUCUGCUCCAGCUGCAAUGCGCCUUCUGGCUCCCAGCUGCUCUCCGUCGUUGUUUUUGAGUAGUCGAACCUUUGAUCCGCCAUGCUGCUCCAACUCACCAAUGACUCUUGACUCUGAUGUGGGGUUGGCUGAGUUGUGUUGAUCCUUGUUGAUUCCUGCGGAUCUCCCAAAUGAAGGAAAAGACCAUCCUUGCUGCGCCAGUCUCUCAAAAUUCCACAUGCUGCUUGAACUGGGUGGAUGCUUGUUGGAGCUUUAACGAGCAUCAUCUCACAAACUUCUGAAGUUUUGGGUCCUUCCUCCACAAAAUCUGUCCAUUGACUCUUCCUUCACUUAGUUGUCACAUCCAAGUAGGUUCGCAUCACUUCCGCUUUCGAUUGGCAUUUCGUUGGGAAAUGAAGCGGACAAUCUACUCUCAGUAGCACUGAUCACCAUUGGUGAGGAUUUGACAACUAUUGUCUUCAAUUAUCUUCGAAGGGUCUUUGAACUUGUGCAGAGCUUCUCUGCUGGAUAGAUAAGAGAAGUGGGGUACUCGGUUUCGCCCAUUCUCUUAAGGGUUGAGAAGGCAAAGGUUACUUGACUUCGCCCGCCUCCUCGAGGUUGUACUUCAUGCAUCAAGCUGGUUACUAGACUUCGCCUGCUCUUUGCUCACACUUCUGAAGCACUUGAAGUGUUUGCACUCCUUGCGUUGAGUUAGUUACUGUGAUUCACCUUCUCAAUGCCGUUGAACUUCUGGAAUGCAGGAAGUUUUCACCCUAACUUGGAGUAAUUCUCUGAUAGAUGAGGUCGCCUCUGGGAUUGUACUGUCUUCUCCAUCAACCCUGCCGCCUCCNNNNNNNNNNNNNNNNNNNNUUUCGACCCCCUGCUUCAACACCUCUGUGUUCUCCAAGCAGCUUCCUCUAGUCGAUGGAAAGACAGACUGCAACUCCCAUGCAUGGCCUCUGCCAUCGCAUUAUAGGGUUUGCACCGAUUCUGUUCUCCUUAGCUUCCUUGGUAGCAACGUUCGCUUACUCGACCUUGUCCUCUGACUUGCCGGGCUCCCUUAAGCGAAUAUAAGCUCUGGAGCAGUCCAACUCUCCAGCUGCUUCGAUCAUACCUCUGCAUGAUCAAGUCCCUCCCAUGGGACUCACUGAUACUUGCAUUCGAACUUUUCCCUUGGUGGAACGCAGCCCCCAUAUGCUGAUGACCAAGGUUUUCAUCCGAUGCAAAAUUCGAUGCACGCACGGAAGACCCGCCUCUGCGGUACCAUGGCCUUCACUCCUUGAAUCCAUAGCCCUUCUUGCCGUCGUGUUGUUCACCGAAGUGGAGCUUCCAGUAGCUCCCGAUCAUACCUCCAUAUGAUCUAGUCCCUCACGGGUUUGCUGUCGUGUGUGUCGCAUUGCCACGAACUGUUCCACCACGAUCCGCUGCACCAUGUCGCCUCCUGGUGAAAUCUCCAUUACAUUCUGAUCCUUGUGGGAUGAACUCGAACUGUGAACCCUCCAUGUGUGGCCUCUGCCAAUACAUCGCAGGGUCUCUUCCACCUUCGAUUUUGUUCGCUCCUUUGACAAUCGACCUUCAUCCACCCACUCUUGGGUCACACGUAGAUGAAGCACCGCUCUAGGACAGUCUGUCGCCUAGUAGCUUCCGAAGUCCCCCGACUUCGCUGCAAUUUGUGCACCAUUGUCUGGAUCCUGGGCCUCUGCCCCUACCAGCACAAUCUCCGCUGCGCACCGCUCCCUUCAAGCAACUUGAAUGGCAACACUGUGGCAUAUUCUUCAAGAGUACCCGCCUCUGCGUCCUCUUGCCCCGUGCUAAGGCCUUCUGAACCCAACUUCGCCUCUGCAAAUUGAGUCGCCUUAGUUCCUCCAUCAAAUGCUCCUCCGAGAUAAGGUGCAUGUGCCCCGAAGCUCCCUUCAUCUUUGGCACCAUGCAAGAUGAGUCCACUCCGACAGAAUGAAAGACCCAUGGAACAACAUGAUCCUACUCUUGCCUCUGCAAGAGUUCAUGUCCUUGACCUCUGUCUAAGGAAAGCACUGUGCCUCCGCUCCAUGUUCCAACUUCUAUGCUGGCUCCCUUCAUGCGGCUUGGGUACUUCGCCAAGUUACACCCAAGUUGCUCCGCUGCUCGCUUUUGCAUUGAGUCGAUGGUGGCCCUCGCGCCCACCAUUCCACGGGUCAGCCCUCCCUUGAGUCCGAUCUCCAUAUCGACUCCAAGUGUGCCUUCGUUUGAGUUGCUUUAGGUCGCUCCCCCACUUGAUCUCGUAAUGCAUCCACCAAUGCAUUCUCUCGAGCGAGAUCAUGCGACAACUCCUCGCCGCUUGCUCAGUCCGUCGAGCUUCGUGGAGUUGUUGUUUGUUGAGGUACUCCUCCUCCACAUGUGAAGUCCGUCUAACAUGAUUCUCCCUCUAGAGAGCCGAGACUUAUCCCUCCUGGAUACUUGUCUCGUUGGAGCAACAUCUCUCUUCGUUUUUGGAGACCACCAUCCCCUUGGACUACUCCGAUCUACUGAACAAACUGUGCACUGUUCUGCCUCCUGCAAACGCACUUGCUAGAUUGCGACUCCACGUCAAUACAGCCCCCGCUGCACCACUCAAGGCCUAGCAACAUGCUGAACUCGCUACACCCUUCAGCCUCCCACGGACGUAUCCUUCGCAUGCCGAAGAGAAAGUUUUAAUGCUCCAUGGCGCCGAGUCUCGGCCGCCUUGGGAUGGCCACGAACAUUCCAUCGUUCGCAUACAAGCCCAUGCAUGAGUACCGAAUUCUUCGAGUUAGCAAUUCCCCUCACCUCUGUGAGCUUUGCACAACUCUUUCGGUCGUUGAGCAACUCAUUCCACUUUGCAUGGUCUCAUCCUUUGCCAAGCGCCUCGCUUACCUUGAGCACCAUCAAGUAUAGUUGUCAACGUUGAGCCGUAGCUCAAACUCAGCCAUCCCAACCUUUGUGCGCUCCGAAUUCUUCCGAGCUUGCCUGUUCUCGUGGUGCCUCUUGCGCGAAGGGUUGGCCAUUCCUCGGAAUGCCAAUGCCAGAUGCCCGCUCCUCUGAGCGACUCUUUUCCCUACAUCUCCAUGCCCGUUUUCCCUCAAACGGUCGCGCGUGUGCUGACUGCCCUCAACGCAGCCCCGCUAGGUCCCCCACAUUUGCAUGCUAAGUGUUUCUAUGAGUGCUUGUCCCGCUCUGAUACCAUUUGUCACGGACUUAGCUGGUUUUGCCUAAGUCGUGCGGCACCCUCGCGCGUCCGUCCGCAAAGGUCAGCUUCCCCGAAGCCUCCCAUUGUCCCUUAGGACCACCAAAAGAGAGAACGGGUUAAAGAGAACGCCUCAAUCGGGAUCCACAAGCAAACAUCUCCGAAAAACACUUCAUAGACAAUGCAAAUUACAAACAGACUUUACAAGCUCUGAACAGUUGCACAACAAAGGGUAAAAUGGUCCAUUACAGACCGAAAAGCUCUCGCACGUGUCCACAUGACACAACCUUUAUUUACAAGCCUAAAGAGGCCACCAACCUAACUCAAAUGGGACUUUGAAGCCUUCGGCCGCCCC